UACGAAGGGGGCUAGCGUUGCUCGGAAUCACUGGGCGUAAAGCGCACGUAGGCGGCUUUCUAAGUCAGGGGUGAAAUCCCGGGGCUCAACCCCGGAACUGCCUUUGAUACUGGAGAGCUUGAGUUCGGGAGAGGUGAGUGGAACUGCGAGUGUAGAGGUGAAAUUCGUAGAUAUUCGCAAGAACACCAGUGGCGAAGGCGGCUCACUGGCCCGAUACUGACGCUGAGGUGCGAAAGCGUGGGGAGCAAACAGGAUUAGAAACCCUAGUAGU
rnacentral:rRNA from 1 species